UACGAGGGGGGCGAGCGUUGUUCGGAAUUAUUGGGCGUAAAGGGUGCGUAGGCGGUUUGGUAAGUCUUAUGUGAAAUCUAUGGGCUCAACUCAUAGACUGCAUGAGAAACUGUUGAACUUGAGGAUGAGAGAGGUGAGUGGAAUUCCCAGUGUAGAGGUGAAAUUCGUAGAUAUCGGGAGGAACACCAGUGGCGAAGGCGGCGACCUGGGCCAAUAUUGACGCUGAGGUGCGAAAGCGUGGGGAGCAAACAGG
rnacentral:rRNA from 1 species